rnacentral:misc_RNA from 1 species
GAUGAAGAACGCAGCGAAAUGCGAUAAGUAAUGUGAAUUGCAGAAUUCAGUGAAUCAUCGAAUCUUUGAACGCACAUUGCGCCCGCCAGUAUUCUGGCGGGCAUGCCUGUUCGAGCGUCAUUUCAACCAUCAAGCCCCAGGCUUGUGUUGGGGACCUGCGGCUGCCGCAGGCCCUGAAAACCAGUGGCGGGCUCGCUGUCACACCGGGCGUAGUAGAUUUUAUCUCGCUCAGGGCGUGCUGCGGGUACCGGCCGUUAAAAGCCUUUUUUUACCCAAGGUUGACCUCGGAUCAGGUAGGAAGACCCGCUGAACUUAAGCAUAUCAAUAAGCGGAGGA